rnacentral:rRNA from 1 species
CAAUAGCGUAUAUUAAAGUUGUUGCAGUUAAAAAGCUCGUAGUUGGAUUUGUGACGUAUGAAGAGCCUCCAUCACUAGUUGUUGGUUUGGUUGUUCGUUGUCAUGCUUGGGUGGAAUCUGUGUGGCAUUAGGUUGUCGUGCAGGGGAUGCCCAUCGUUUACUGUGAAAAAAUUAGAGUGUUCAAAGCAGGCUUAUGCCGUUGAAUAGAUUAGCAUGGAAUAAUGAGAUAGGACCUUGGUACUAUUUUGUUGGUUUGCGUAGUGAGGUAAUGAUUAACAGGGACAGUUGGGGGUAUUCGUAUUCCAUUGUCAGAGGUGAAAUUCUUGGAUUUUUGGAAGACGAACUACUGCGAAAGCAUUUACCAAGGAUGUUUUCAUUAA